rnacentral:rRNA from 1 species
CCUGAACGCUGGCGGCGUGGCUAAGACAUGCAAGUCGUACGGAUGUAGCAAUACAUCAGUGGCGGACGGGUGAGUAAUGAAUCGCUAAUGUACCCCAGAGUCUGGGAUAGCUGCCCGAAAGGGCAGGUAAUACCAGAUGAUAUAUCCGAUAGGCAUCUGUUGGAUCUCAAAGGAGCAAUACGCUCUGGGAGCAGGCGAUUUCGAUCAGCUAGUUGGUGAGGUAACGGCUCACCAAGGCGACGACGCGUAGCUGGUCUGAGAGGACGGCCAGCCACAUUGGGACUGA